UGGCUAUUUAGAAACGAUGCCAUGUACUUCCUGUCACCCAUGCUGCUGUUGUUUGUAACAUUGUUGUCUGAUUCCAAUGUAUCAGCUAUAAUUUUUAGAAAAUAUAGCUUGCAAAAUGUCAGUUUGGGAGCCAGGAGCAGCCAUGUCGUAAUUGAUAUCCAGAAUUCAUAAAUAUUGGUGUGGAAAGUUACCUUCAUCCUGUGCAACUACUCUGUCGCUCCAUGAUCAAACCGUGGGUUGAACUCCCAAGAAAUUCAUCAAGCCUAUUGCUCACAUUCCUGAUAACUUCCAAUCCCAAUUAUCCUAUGUAUGCCAUCAAGGUGAAAUGAUGAACUUUCCUUCCCAGCUACUGCUCAUGUUCAUAGGGGCUCAUGGCUCUGUGCCAUGUUAACUACAACCG
rnacentral:lncRNA from 1 species